UGAUUUGUUGAAGUUUUUUCCUAUUUUCUGUCAUGAUUUCCUAUUUUCUGUUGUGUUUUCUUAUUUGCUGUUGUGUUUUUUCUAUUUGCUGUUGUGUUUUCCUAUUUGGCGUUGUGCUUUAUGAUUUGUUGAAUUGUUUUCCUAUUUGCCGUUUUGAUUUCAUAUUUGCUGUUGCGUUUUUCUAUUUGCUGUUGUGAUUUGCACUUCAGGGCCACUGUACAUAGUACUGAAAACCA